UUAUGGCUCAGAGGUAGAGCACUUGCCUAGCACGCAUGAGGCACUGGGUUCAAUCCUCAGCAA
rnacentral:tRNA from 1 species